CAUUUUUGAAACGUUUGACCGCACCCUGCUUCAGAGGUUGCCUACAUAUCCUGGGCCAAAUAGGAAUCGGGUCAGUGUAGUUCGGGAGUGUCUGGUAGUUUGGACUACCAUAAGCUGUGAUUUCACUACGCUUGCUGCUACUGCUACUUCUCGUUAACCUUCUUUAUUACACCCAUCAAAAAUAAAAGAAGCUAGCCUAAGCUACGAGCUACGAAUUACAAAAUCCUAUAUAAACUCUUCAAACUUGUUCUUGUACUUCCUUGUUGUCUUAUCGUAUUCUGUUUUCUUGGUGAAAUCCAUUGUCGUUUCUUCAACUUGCUGACUGUGAUGUUGUUCCUUCCCUCCAAAUUAUUGAACUUCAAUAAACUUGAACAUGAAUGUAUUCCUCUGUUAUCCAGGCAGGAUCCUGAUUGUUGAACUUGAACUUGACUGUAUUCCUCUAUUAGCCAGGCGGGCUCCUGACUACACGCAAAUAGACAAAACAAAGAAAUAUUUCUGCCCAGUU
rnacentral:lncRNA from 1 species